rnacentral:rRNA from 1 species
CGCUGGCGGCGUGCUUAACACAUGCAAGUCGAACGCGAACGGGACUUCGGUUCCUAGUAGAGUGGCGCACGGGUGAGUAACGCGUAGAUAACCUAUCUUUAUGUCUGGAAUAACACGCCGAAAGGGGUACUAAUACCGGAUAUUCUUGCAUUUCAUAAGUAAGGCAAGGAAAGGUGGCCUCUGGUUCAAGCUACUGCAUAGAGAGGGGUCUGCGUACCAUUAGCUAGUAGGUGGGGUAAUGGCCUACCUAGGCGACGAUGGUUAGCGGGUCUGAGAGGAUGAUCCGCCACACUGGCACUGAAAUACGGGCCAGACUCCUACGGGAGGCAGCAGUGAGGAAUAUUGCGCAAUGGGGGAAACCCUGACGCAGCGACGCCGCGUGAGUGAGGAAAGGCCUUCGGGUCGUAAAGCUCUGUCAAGAGGGAAGAAGUGCGUGGUAGCUAAUAUCUGCCAUGUUUGACGGUACCUCUAAAGGAAGCACCGGCUAACUCCGUGCCAGCAGCAGC